rnacentral:rRNA from 1 species
CCUGGGGAGUACGNCCGCAAGGUUGAAACUCAAAGGAAUUGACGGGACCCCGCACAAGCGGUGGAUGAUGUGGUUUAAUUCGAUGCAACGCGAAAAACCUUACCUACCCUUGACAUGUCUGGAAUUCCGCAGAGAUGUGGAAGUGCUCGAAAGAGAGCCAGAACACAGGUGCUGCAUGGCCGUCGUCAGCUCGUGUCGUGAGAUGUUGGGUUAAGUCCCGCAACGAGCGCAACCCUUGUCAUUAGUUGCUACGAAAGGGCACUCUAAUGAGACUGCCGGUGACAAACCGGAGGAAGGUGGGGAUGACGUCAGGUCCUCAUGGCCCUUAUGGGUAGGGCUACACACGUCAUACAAUGGCCGGUACAGAGGGCUGCCAACCCGCGAGGGGGAGCUAAUCCCAGAAAACCGGUCGUAGUCCGGAUCGCAGUCUGCAACUCGACUGCGUGAAGUCGGAAUCGCUAGUAAUCGCGGAUCAGCUUGCCGCGGUGAAUACGUUCCCGGGUCUUGUACACACCGCCCGUCACACCAUGGGAGCGGGUUCUGCCAGAAGUAGUUAGCCUAACCGCAAGGAGGGCGAUUACCACGGCAGGGUUCGUGACUGGGGUGAAGUCGUAACAAGGUAGCCGUAUCGGAAGGUGCGGCUGGAUCACCUCCUU